AGCGCAGGCGGGAAGACAAGUUGGAAGUGAAAUCCAUGGGCUCAACCCAUGAACUGCUUUCAAAACUGUUUUUCUUGAGUAGUGCAGAGGUAGGCGGAAUUCCCGGUGUAGCGGUGGAAUGCGUAGAUAUCGGGAGGAACACCAGUGGCGAAGGCGGCCUACUGGGCACCAACUGACGCUGAAGCUCGAAAGUGUGGGUAGCAAACA
rnacentral:rRNA from 1 species